rfam:Streptomyces sp. WM4235 P404contig191.1, whole genome shotgun sequence.
CGCUCCCAUGCGUCGCUGGUAACGGCGGGGUGUGAAGCGGAGC